rnacentral:rRNA from 1 species
GACGACGCUGGCGGCGUGCCUAAUACAUGCAAGUCGAACGAGUGGCGGACGGGUGAUCAACACGGGGGAACCUACCCAUCAGAGAGGGAUACCACUUGGCAACAUGUGCUAAUACCGCAUACUGCUGGAUGGACCCGCGGUGCAGUAGCUAGUUGGUGAGGUAACGGCUCACCUAGGCGACGAUCCCUAACUGGUCUGAGAGGAUGAUCAGCCACACUGGAACUGAGACACGGUCCAGACUCCUACGGGAGGCAGCAGUGGGGAAUAUGGGACAAUGGGCGCAAGCCUGAUGCAGCCAUGCCGCGUGUAUGAAGAAGGCCUUCGGGUUGUAAAGUACUUUCAGCGAGGAGGCGUUACUCGCAGAAGAAGCACCGGCUAACUCCGUGCCAGCAGCCGCGGUAAUUC